GACGAGCCACCCGAACGUUAUUCGGAAUCAUUGGGUUUAAAGGGUCCGUAGGCGGUUUAGUAAGUCAGUGGUGAAAGCCCAUCGCUCAACGGUGGAACGGCCAUUGAUACUGCUAGACUUGAAUUAUUAGGAAGUAACUAGAAUAUGUAGUGUAGCGGUGAAAUGCUUAGAGAUUACAUGGAAUACCAAUUGCGAAGGCAGGUUACUACUAAUGUAUUGACGCUGAUGGACGAAAGCGUGGGGAGCGAACAGG
rnacentral:rRNA from 1 species